GUUAAUGUAGCUUAAAAUUAAAGCAAGGCACUGAAAAUGCCUAGAUGAGUGUUUUAACUCCAUAAACA
rnacentral:tRNA from 1 species